rnacentral:sRNA from 1 species
GCCGGGUGUGGUGACUCAUGCCUGUAAUCCCAGUAAUUUGGGAGGCUGAGGCAAGAGGAUCACAAGUUUGAGGCCAGCCUUGGCAUCUUAGUGAGAUCCUGUCUCAA